GGACAGACCUCUGGAGAGACCUGGCAAGACCGGGCGCCGAAGGAGCAAGCCUGCCAGCCGGCAGGUCAAUCUCUCAGGCAAAAGGACAGGGAGCGACAG
rnacentral:ncRNA from 2 species